GAGGGAGAGAAAUUGGGAGAUGUUUCCCUCCCAAAUUGAGGCAGAAAAGAAAACCGGGACAAGCAGAGCAGGGAUCGAAAGCAAGUUGGAGAAAGACAGAAGCGGGGUUGGACUGUGCAGAGGGUAGAGUGGACUGGAGGCUCUCUUCAUCCUCAUCUUGCAGGCACAGGCGAGCCCCUGUGUCAUUUCAGCCCGACUCCAAGGACAGGCUUUGGAGGGGGCUCAGCCCUGGUCUGCGCAGUGGUGCCUCCCAGCUGUGGGACGUGGACCAAGGGAUCAAAGCCUUCUCGACUUAACCCCAAUUCUGUCAUGGAUGCCUUCGGCACCCACUGGGAAGAGAGUUUCCCCAGAAGCUGCAGGGGAAGACCUUAGGCCCAUAAAGAAGAGGAAGACUUCAAGGAGGGAUGCAAAACAGGGCACCGGAGAAACUGUGGCUGACAUCAAGUGUCAAGGCCACAAGCUCAUCUCAGAGCUGGUCCAGCCAGACCCUACCCUUGGGUCUCAGAUGGAAGAACUGGGCCCAGAGAGGUGAGGAAACCUGCCACGGGCUGCCCAGCCUCAGCAGCCGGGUGGCGGCUGCACUUGUGCAAGCAGCAGCUGGCGAUCCGAGAACAAAAGCGAAGCAUUCCUUCUGCAGUCAGCAGCCAAGCCAGCUGGACGGCAGCCGCCCCGCAGGGCUGCUGCGCUUGCUAGUGUUGCCGGCAGGGAGCCUUGUCGGGGACAAGGGGCCUGGGGAGACCCUCCUCUGAGGUUGGGGAUCUGUCCCUCCGUCAGCGGUGACACAGGGGCACAGCUUCACUGAGCAGCCAUAUGUGCCGUCUCAGCUGCCAGGCCGCCCGGGGACGGAGGGUAACUGCGACUUUCCGGAGGGCUAGGGCUGGGAGCUAGCACCUGGAGUGGGCUGCCUCCGGCUGUGUGGUCUCCUCUGAAAACCAGUUGGAAGGUUCGUUAUCUCUGACCUCGGUUCAGAGCCUGGAAAGCCCCACUUCCUCGCUGGGAAGCCUUGGGGAACCCUUGCAGCAGUCUGGUGCUUGGUCUUGCUCUGGCCAACAGGUCCGAGGUGGGUGUCACUUAGAGUCCGCCGUGGGUGGAAAGGGGCAUGUGUGCAGGGCUCCAGCGAUGCCAUGGUAUAAAAAUGUAAUCUGGGGGACAGUGACAUGGCGCAGAGGACCAAGGCAUUUGCUGUACAAGCCUGGUGACCUGAAUUUGAUCCCUGGAUCCUUGUAAUGGUGGAAGAAGAAAAUCUGACUUCGUAAAUUUUCUUUCCUCUGACCUCCAUAUUCCACAUGUGCACUGCACACCCACACUCACAUUAUACAUGCACGUGUAAUAACGACAAAUAAAUAACUUCUAAAUGUAAUUUAAGGGCUACUGAUAUGGCUUAGUGAGUAAAGGUGCUUGCCACCAAGUUUGGUACCUGGGUUCAGUUCCCAGAACCCACAUGAUGGAAGGAGAGAACCACCUCCUGCAAGUCGU